UCCCUGGUGGCUCAGAGGUUAAAGCGUCUGCCUCCAAUGCGGGAUACCUGGGUUCGAUCCCUGGGUCGGGAA
rfam:Ovis aries breed Texel chromosome 3, whole genome shotgun sequence.